CUGACUUCUAAAUCUAAAGCAAUGGAAAUGGCAAGUGCAAAUAUAAGUCAAGGCAUGGCUGACCAAAUCACGCUAUCAGCCUCUGAUGGCUCUGAAUCUGAAUCAGAAUCAAAUCAUGCAAAUUCCUAUGUAAAUUCCUCUUCUCAUGUUGAAGUUGAAAACACCUGGGGAAAAAAACCAACAAGCUGAAAUGAAUCCAGAAUUAAAUUGCCAUCCAACUAUUUCCAAUUCAUGUACGACAAAAAAGAUGGCAAAGGCUUUUAGUUAAAUGCCUCAUAGGUCACAAGACAAAGCCAAAAUUUAAUAAAAAAGGCGAAAUUGAACUUCUGACUAUUUCCAACAAUUCUGGCUACAAUGCCAAGAGGCACAUAAGAACAAUACUCCCAACACACCUAACAGAAUUUAACUCUGCUUGGCAAAUAAGAAACCAAGAACCAAGCGAAGAAAGACAGUCAUCUAAUCCUGUUCAGGCUAGACUCUCUACUACGAGAAAAGUAAAAAAGGCUAAUAAGCCUUCUAUAAAGAAUCAUUGGGAUAGUUCUUGGAAGUAUAAGCAGAUUAGAACACAGGAAGAUUUGGGAAAGCUAUCCUGGUGAGUUUUUCUUUACAUUAGUCCUAGUCUUAUCUCAUCUCAUCUCAUCCCCAACUAAGUA